AUUCCCAGCAUCAGGAAGGCGCACUAAAAUUGCACCGGUACAGAAAAGAUUAGCAUGGCCACAGCACAAGGAUGGUAUACAAAUUCAUGAAGUGUUCCAUAUUAAA
rnacentral:snRNA from 1 species